rnacentral:sRNA from 1 species
CACACGUAAGGCAUGGGAUUUUCCGGGAGAAAUCCGGAUCGUUCCGCCGGUGGGCGCCAUGCGCUCGACGCCUUGCGGAGGUUAAACCGGAAAAGGAGACAA